CCUGGCCGAAACACUUCCUCCUCCUCCUCCUCCUCUAUCAUCUUACUCUUCUUCCUCCUCCUUCUCCUCCUCCUCUUAACUCUUCACCAAUGAGAUCCUUCGCUUCUCCAGGUAACCCAACUCCUCCUCCUCCUCCUUCUCCUCCUCCUCUUCUACCGAUGGCCCUACCAGUUCCUUCCUCCUCCCCCCUCCCUCCCUUAGUACCCAUCCUCGCUGCGUAUAUUAACAAGUGGUCGGGCGAGAGGCGGUCAGACACACGCUGACUUGGCUCUGAGGUUACCUGCCCGCACCUGAGCUUGUUAAUAUACUCCUCUUAUUACUACGGACAGUCGCCGAGAUGAAAUUCGCUGCCGUAUUUGCUGUUCUCUGCCUGCUGGUCGGGGCAUCCAUCGCCCUCCCAAUGCCUUACCCCAAUGCCGAUCCCCAAUUUGGCUUCGGCGGCGGACAUGGCGGCGGCGGCUUCCUCGGAGGACUCCUGAGCCGCCUUCCUCACGUCCACGGCCACGUCCACCAUGGCGACCACACCCACCACUACACACGUUACCCAGGGGGCUUUACCACCGAACAAGUGGAAUACAACCCCUACGGACACGGACACGGACACUUCGGGAGAUAGACACUGAAGAUGGAUGGUCUAACUGAGGACGUUCUUCUUUGGUUCUUGGUCCGCUGGAUUCUUCGUCUGUCUCUCUGUUUUCCGUUUUCUAUGUGUUAUCUGGUGUUCUUCAUAGCCACGGACACGGACAAGGGAGAUGGGAUGGUCUGAAAAUGUCCUUCUUUGGUUCUUGGUCCAUUGGAUUCCUCGUGUCUCUCUGUUUUCCGUUUUUUCUGUGUGAUCUGGUGUUCAUUGUAGCCACGGACACGGACAAGGAAGAUGGGAUGGUCAAGGAUGCUGGGGAAUGUCCGUUUUGAGGCAUAUGUACGUCCUUUCUUGGUCCGUGGUCCGUUCUCCAUCUCUCCUCUUCGUUUUCUGUUAUCUGGUUUUCUUUUGACCUUUCCAUCCAUUAUUUCUCUAAGUCAUCCAUCCAUCUCCCUUUUUCUCUCCGUUUUCUGUUAUCUGAUUUUCUUGACCUUUCCAUCCAUUAUUUCUCUAAGUCAUCCAUCCAUCUCGAUCCCAGUUAUCUAUUUUAGCCUUGCAUCCAAUUCUGUUAUUUGAGUUCGUUGAUUGACUUUCUCAUGUUAUCUUAUCCUGUGUUAUUUUUUUACCAAGUCAUCCAUUUUGUCAUAUAUAUAUAGUUUCUCUGUUUAAUUGUUGUGUAUCCAUCUGUCUGUGUGUGUGUCUCUGUCUACCUAACCGACAAUACGUCUAUUCGAUCCUGUCUUUCCUACUCUCCCUCUUUGGCUGUGAACUAUAUAGGCCUACUGUCAAAACCCACCUUCAGUUUCUCUAAUUUCGUUUUGUAUUACGACUAUUUAUAUACUUCGAUCUAUACAACACAUCAUUCACGUGAGACUGUAUAUUCAUUUUCUUCGUCAACUGACAUCUAUUCCAUUAAAAGGUUGUGAAUGUUA